CUGCUGCCUCCCGUAGGAGUUUGGACCGUGUCUCAGUUCCAAUGUGGGGGACCUUCCUCUCAGAACCCCUACGCAUCGUCGGCUUGGUGGGCCGUUGCCCCACCAACUACCUAAUGCGCCGCAUGCCCAUCCGUGACCGGGGUCGCCCCCUUUGGCCGGCAGGGGAUGUCCCCUCCCGGCAUUAUGUUGUAUUAGGCGGGAUUUCUCCCGGUUAUCCAUCUGUCACGGCCAGGUUGCAUACGUGUUACUCACCCGUGCGCCGGUUGCCGGCGG
rnacentral:rRNA from 1 species